GAUGAAGAACGUAGCGAAAUGCGAUAAGUAAUGUGAAUUGCAGAAUUCAGUGAAUCAUCGAAUCUUUGAACGCACAUUGCGCCCGGUAGUAUUCUGCCGGGCAUGCCUGUUCGAGCGUCAUUUCAACCAUCAAGCCCCAGGCUUGUGUUGGGGACCUGCGGCUGCCGCAGGCCCUGAAAACCAGUGGCGGGCUCGCUGUCACACCGGGCGUAGUAGAUUUUAUCUCGCUCAGGGCGUGCUGCGGGUUCCGGCCGUUAAAAAGCCUUUUUUACCCAAGGUUGACCUCGGAUCAGGUAGGAAGACCCGCUGAACUUAAGCAUAUCAAUAAGCGGAGGA
rnacentral:misc_RNA from 1 species